UUUGCACGUCGCAGGUCGCAGGUUGUAGCAAGGCCUAAGAUUCAUACAUAAUGCGUCCUGUCUGGAUAUUAGAAAUAUUUCUGCAAUUGUAUACAGCAGUUGUAAAGUGCGCAGUUCCGAUAGACGUCGUGACACAGAAAAUUAUGCCGCUGAAGUGGGCGCGAGUGCCGGCCAUAAUACCGAUGAUACCAGACAAAAAGCCCAUCAUACCUCCCACCAGACGGCUGGUGGAUGAUGUCCCGAGGCCCGAGGCUGAGGUCCGAGAACUAACGGGACAGGACUGAGCUAACGAUUGCGUCCGCGUGUUCCUGACACGAAGCAGCUUCCCUAUUUCGAAACAUCUCUACUACUGAAAAUUGUUGGCUCCUCCGAUUAAUAACUUUUGAUAAGAUUAAUUUUAAUUUUCGGCUAUUAGGUAUUUAAAUAUUUUAAAAUUUGUAUAUUUAUUGGAAGUAAAA